rnacentral:tRNA from 1 species
GAGGGUAUAGCUCAGUGGUAGAGUAUGUGCCUACCAUGCGUGAGGUUCUGGGUUCAAUCCCCAGUAUCUCCA